rnacentral:misc_RNA from 1 species
AACGCACAUUGCGCCCUUUGGUAUUCCAAAGGGCAUGCCUGUUCGAGCGUCAUUUGUACCCUCAAGCCUUGCUUGGUGUUGGGCGUCUUUUGUCUCCAGUUCGCUGGAGACUCGCCUUAAAGUCAUUGGCAGCCGGCCUACUGGUUUCGGAGCGCAGCACAAGUCGCGCUCUUUGCCAGCCAAGGUCAGCGUCCAGCAAGCCUUUUUUUCAACCUUUGACCUCGGAUCAGGUAGGGAUACCCGCUGAACUUAA